rnacentral:rRNA from 1 species
AUUGAACGCUGGCGGCAGGCCUAACACAUGCAAGUCGAACGAGUGGCGGACGGGUGAGAAAUGUCUGGGAAACAGCCCGUGGGAGGGGGAUAACUACUGUAAACGGGAGCUAAUACCGCAUACCAUAGCAUAUGUGCAGAGGGGGUUAGCUUGUAGGGGGGGUAACGGCUCACCUAGGCGACGAGCCCUAGCUGGUCUGAGAGGAUGACCAGCCACACUGGAACUGAGACACGGUCCAGACUCCUACGGGAGGCAGCAGUGGGGAAUAUUGCACAAUGGGCGCAAGCCUGAUGCAGCCAUGCCGCGUGUAUGAAGAAGGCCUUCGGGUUGUAAAGUACUUUCAGCGGGGAGGUGUUACCCGCAGAAGAAGCACCGGCUAACUCCGUGCCAGCCGCCGCGGUAAUUC